UACGGGAGGCAGCAGUGGGGAAUAUUGCACAAUGGGCGCAAGCCUGAUGCAGCCAUGCCGCGUGUAUGAAGAAGGCCUUCGGGUUGUAAAGUACUUUCAGUCGUGAGGAAGGUGUUAAGGUUAAUAACCUUAGCAAUUGACGUUAGCGACAGAAGAAGCACCGGCUAACUCCGUGCCAGCAGCCGCGGUAAUACGGAGGGUGCGAGCGUUAAUCGGAAUUACUGGGCGUAAAGGGCACGCAGGCGGUUAAUUAAGUUGGAUGUGAAAUCCCCGGGCUUAACCUGGGAAUGGCAUUCAAGACUGGUUAGCUAGAGUCUUGUAGAGGGGGUAGAAUUCCAUGUGUAGCGGUGAAAUGCGUAGAGAUGUGGAGGAAUACCGGUGGCGAAGGCGGCCCCUGGGACAAAGACUGACGCUCAUGUGCGAAAGCGUGGGGAGCAAACGAGGGAUUAGAUACC
rnacentral:rRNA from 1 species